ACACCUCAACUCUCAUGGCUUGCCAUGAUGAGCUUGGACUUUGGGGGUCUUGCUGGCCUGUGGUCAGCUCCUCUCAAAUGGAUUAGCUUGCCAGUGUUUGGUGGCAUCACAGGUGUGAUAACUAUCUACGCUUGUGGUUUUCCACCAGGUAACCUUCAGUGAUGAAGGUUCGCUGGGGCUCAUAAAUGUCUCUCCUCAGCGAGGACAGCUCUUUCAAC
rnacentral:misc_RNA from 1 species